rnacentral:sRNA from 1 species
GCCGGGUGCAGUGGCUCACGCCUGUAAUCCUAGCGGCUUGGGAGGCUGAGACAGGAGGAUCAUGAGUUCAAAGCCAGCCUAAGGAAUGUCAAGGCACUAAAGCAACUCAGUGAGACCCUGUCUCUA